rnacentral:rRNA from 1 species
AUCAACUUUCGAUGGUAGGAUAGAGGCCUACCAUGGUGGUAACGGGUAACGGGGUGUUAGGGCACGACACCGGAGAGGGAGCCUGAGAAACGGCUACCACAUCCAAGGAUGGCAGCAGGCGCGCAAAUUACCCAAUCCCGACACGGGGAGGUAGUGACAAUAAAUAACAAUACGGGGUUCUUUCGGAUUUCGUAAUUGGAAUGAGUACAAUUUAAAUCUCUUAACGAGGAACAAUUGGAGGGCAAGUCUGGUGCCAGCAGCCGCGGUAAUUCCAGCUCCAAUAGCGUAUAUUAAAGUUGCUGCAGUUAAAAAGCUCGUAGUUGAAUUUCGGGAUCGAUAUAUCGGUCGUGCCUCGGUACGUACUGGUAUUUUCGGUUUCUCCCUUCUGACGAACCUUGAUGUCAUUAAUUUGGUGUCUUGGGGAAUCAGGACUGUUACUUUGAAAAAAUUAGAGUGUUUAAAGCAGGCUCACGCUUGAAUACAUUAGCAUGGAAUAAUGAAAUAGGACGUUUGAUUCUAUUUUGUUGGUUUCUAGGAUCGACGUAAUGAUUAAUAGGGAUAGUUGGGGGCAUUAGUAUUCAAUUGUCAGAGGUGAAAUUCUUGGAUUUAUUGAAGACUAACUACUGCGAAAGCAUUUGCCAAGGAUGUUUUCAUUAAUCAAGAACGAAAGUUAGGGGAUCGAAGACGAUCAGAUACCGUCGUAGUCUUAACCAUAAACUAUGCCGACUAGGGAUCGGAUGAUGUUAAUUUUUUAAUGACUCAUUCGGCGCCUUACGGGAAACCAAAGUGUUUGGGUUC